rnacentral:rRNA from 1 species
CCUACGGGGGGCAGCAGUGAGGAAUAUUGGACAAUGGCCGGAAGGUUGAUCCAGCCAUGCCGCGUGCAGGAUGACGGCCCUAUGGGUUGUAAACUGCUUUUGUACGGGAAGAAACCACCCCUCGUGAGGGGAACUGACGGUACCGUACGAAUAAGGACCGGCUAACUCCGUGCCAGCAGCCGCGGUAAUACGGAGGGUCCGAGCGUUAUCCGGAAUCAUUGGGUUUAAAGGGUCCGUAGGCGGGCCUAUAAGUCAGGGGUGAAAGGCCACGGCUCAACCGCGGGACUGCCCUUGAUACUGUGGGUCUUGAGUCGUUGUGGGGUUGCCGGAACAUGUGGUGUAGCGGUGAAAUGCAUAGAUAUCACAUAGAACACCGAUCGCGAAGGCAGGUGACCAACAACGUACUGACGCUGAUGGACGAAAGCGUGGGUAGCGAACGGGAUUAGAUACCCCGGUAGUCCACGCCGUAAACGAUGGAUACUAGCUGUCGGGACUUCGGUCUCGGCGGCCAAGCGAAAGUGAUAAGUAUCCCACCUGGGGAGUACGUUCGCAAGAAUGAAACUCAAAGGAAUUGACGGGGGCCCGCACAAGCGGUGGAGCAUGUGGUUUAAUUCGAUGAUACGCGAGGAACCUUACCAGGGCUUAAAUGCGGGCUGCAUGGGACAGAGACGUCCCUUUCUUCGGACCGCCCGCAAGGUGCUGCAUGGUUGUCGUCAGCUCGUGCCGUGAGGUGUCAGGUUAAGUCCUAUAACGAGCGCAACCCCUACCGUUAGUUGCCAGCGAGUAAUGUCGGGGACUCUAACGGGACUGCCGGUGCAAACCGAGAGGAAGGUGGGGACGACGUCAAAUCAUCACGGCCCUUACGUCCUGGGCUACACACGUGCUACAAUGGCCGGUACAGAGGGAAGCCACCCCGCAAGGGGGCGCGGAUCUACAAAGCCGGUCACAGUUCGGAUCGGGGUCUGCAACUCGACCCCGUGAAGCUGGAAUCGCUAGUAAUCGGAUAUCAGCCAUGAUCCGGUGAAUACGUUCCCGGGCCUUGUACACACCGCCCGUC